AAUAAAUGUACUUUCCCUUAAUAUAUAAGAAAGAUUCCCCCCAAGACCCUUCAAACGUUCGACCGAUUACGCUCCAGCCGGUUUUUGGCAAGGUGUUUACAUCAAUAAUUCGUCAUAGAAUUUACUCAUUUCUGAUGGAUAACAAAUAUAUAAAAACAAAAAUUCGAAAAGGUUUCUGGGAAGAGGUGUCUAGCACGAUAGAGCACACCGAAUUACAAACCAUACGCGCAACAAUAAAAGGCAUUUGAUAGUCACCCUACUCGAUUUAGAGAACGCGUUUGGGAAAGUUGAUCAUCAACUCCUUACCACUGUACUAGAACACCACUAUGUCCGACUGCUGUAAUAAAGCUUAUCCAAAACCUGUAUGAUAACUACACCAUUUCAGCAGGCACAGAAAGCUUU